CACGUAGGGCGCAAGCGUUGUCCGGAAUUAUUGGGCGUAAAGAGCUCGUAGGCGGUCUGUUACGUCUGCUGUGAAAACCCGGGGCUUAACCCUGGGCUUGCAGUGGAUACGGGCAGACUAGAGGCAGGUAGGGGAGAAUGGAAUUCCCGGUGUAGCGGUGAAAUGCGCAGAUAUCGGGAGGAACACCGGUGGCGAAGGCAGCUCUCUGGGACGGUACUGACGCUGAGACGCGAAAGCGUGGGGAGCGAACAGG
rnacentral:rRNA from 1 species